UACGUAGGUGGCAAGCGUUGUCCGGAUUUACUGGGCGUAAAGAGCGCGCAGGCGGUCGUUCAAGUCGCGUGUGAAAGCCCCCGGCUCAACUGGGGAGGACUCACGCGAUACUGAUCGACUCGAAGGCAGGAGAGGGAAGUGGAAUUCCCGGUGUAGUGGUGAAAUGCGUAGAUAUCGGGAGGAACACCAGUGGCGAAGGCGACUUCCUGGCCUGUUCUUGACGCUGAGGCGCGAAAGCUAGGGGAGCAAACGGGG
rnacentral:rRNA from 1 species